AAUAAAUGUAAUUUUACACGGUUAAUGUCCAACAUUUGACCGUUCGUCUUAUUUAAAAAAAAUAUAAUAAGUAUUUUUGUUGUUAUUAGAUGAUAAAAUAUGAAUAUUACUUUAUGUGUGACUAAUUUUUAGUUUUUUCUACAAAUUAUUUAAAUAAAACGAACAAUCAAACGUUGGACACGGAUACCCACGACUGCACUUAUU
rfam:Oryza meridionalis cultivar OR44 (W2112) chromosome 12, whole genome shotgun sequence.